GGCGAAUGCACUUCUCCAAAACAAAACACAGCAAGUUUAAUGAAUCUGGUCAGCUUAGUGCGUUCUACCUUUUUGCCUGUGUUUGGGGCACAUUCAUUCUCAUCUCUGAAAACUACAUCUCAGACCCAACUAUCUUAUGGAGGGCUUAUCCCCAUAACCUGAUGACAUUUCAAAUGAAGUUUUUCUACAUAUCACAGCUGGCUUACUGGCUUCAUGCUUUUCCUGAACUCUACUUCCAGAAAACCAAAAAAAUAUUCCUCGUCAGCUUGUCUACAUUGGUCUUUACCUCUUCCACAUUGCUGGAGCUUACCUUUUGAACUUGAAUCAUCUAGGACUUGUUCUUCUGGUGCUACAUUAUUUUGUUGAAUUUCUUUUCCACAUUUCCCGCCUGUUUUAUUUUAGCAAUGAAAAGUAUCAGAAAGGAUUUUCUCUGUGGGCAGUUCUUUUUGUUUUGGGAAGACUUCUGACUUUAAUUCUUUCAGUACUGACUGUUGGUUUUGGCCUUGCAAGAGCAGAAAAUCAGAAGCUGGAUUUCAGUACUGGAAACUUCAAUGUGUUAGCUGUUAGAAUCGCUGUUCUGGCAUCCAUUUGCGUUACUCAGGCAUUUAUGAUGUGGAAGUUCAUUAAUUUUCAGCUUCGAAGGUGGAGGGAACAUUCUGCUUUUCAGGCACCAGCUGUGAAGAAGAAACCAACAGUAACUAAAGGCAGAUCUUCUAAAAAAGGAACAGAAAAUGGUGUGAAUGGAACAUUAACUUCAAAUGUAGCAGACUCUCCCCGGAAUAAAAAAGAGAAAUCUUCAUAAUGAAUUAUAAACUAAUUGAUUAAUGUCCCCAAAGAAAUCUGCUUUCUACUAUAUCUUUCAGCAUUAGAGAUUUUUCUGUUCUUGAAAAUACAGUCUGUGCUCUUUGAUUUUUGCUAUUGUACGGUUUCAUGCAUUUUUUUAAAGGGCAUUUGAGGGGAGGAUUAUUGCUAUGAAUGAAAAAAAUAUUUUAGCUUAGACUAAGCUACCUGCCUUCAAAAUAGUUUAGGGACCACCACCAUAUUUUAUUUUGUUUUUAUUUUUGAACAUUUUUCUAAUGAUUUGGAGAGAAAACUAUUUACAAAAAUUCCACAUAUCAGUGAUACAAUUUCUUGCUGUCACCAAUUUUUUAUAAUAGCAGAGUGGCCUGUUCUAAGAAGGCCAUAUUUUUUAAGUUAUCUUUCAGGGUAACAUGGAAAUACUAUAAAGUUGGAUGUCAAACUUUAAUAUGUUUUCAGUGUUCUCUAAUUUUUUGGAAUUUUUGUAGACUUUACACCUG
rnacentral:lncRNA from 1 species